rnacentral:rRNA from 1 species
ACGGGGGCAGCAGUGGGGGAUAUUGCACAAUGGGGGAAACCCUGAUGCAGCGACGCCGCGUGAGUGAAGAAGUAUUUCGGUAUGUAAAGCUCUAUCAGCAGGGAAGAUAAUGACGGUACCUGACUAAGAAGCACCGGCUAAAUACGUGCCAGCAGCCGCGGUAAUACGUAUGGUGCAAGCGUUAUCCGGAUUUACUGGGUGUAAAGGGAGCGUAGACGGCAUAGCAAGUCUGAUGUGAAAGCUAUGGGCUCAACCCAUAAACUGCAUUGGAAACUGUUAAGCUAGAGUGUCGGAGAGGUAAGUGGAAUUCCUAGUGUAGCGGUGAAAUGCGUAGAUAUUAGGAGGAACACCAGUGGCGAAGGCGGCUUACUGGACGAUAACUGACGUUGAGGCUCGAAAGCGUGGGGAGCAAACAGGAUUAGAUACCCUGGUA